CAGCGGCAGCUCCUCUGGACAUGGACCCCGAGACCUGCCCUUGCCCUACUGGUGGUUCCUGUACCUGCAACGGCUCCUGCAAGUGUGAGGGAUGCAAAUGCACCUCCUGCAAGAAGAAUUCUGAUGGACAGCUAUGAUGGAGACCUUCUACCCUGGUCCAAACCCUCACCUCAAAACCUCAAGCUGCUGCUCCUGCUGCCCGGCGGAGUGUGAGAAAUGCGCCAAGGACUGUGUGUGCAAAGGUGAAGAGGGCACCGAGGCUGAGGCCGAGAAGUGUAGCUGCUGCCAGUGAGGAC